UAAUAAAUCGACGAUGCAAGACAACAUUCUUCCCCAAUGGACCGUUUAUCUUAUUGGUGGUCACGGGUGACCACCGUGGCGACUUGCUAACAGUUGAUCGCGACGUAUUAUAACGAGGCUUCGUUUAUUUCAACAAACCAUUCGCAUUCGUUGUUUCGUCGUAAGCAAGACGUGCAGAAUAUAUCGUUGAAACGUGUAGAGGAUAUUGGUAAACGGUAUUUGCUCGUUCUAUAUAUAAUAUUAAGUUUCCAGAUCCAGUCAAUCGAAGCAGUUCUCUUCGGUUCUUUCAUGGUGUAGCAGGAGAGUGACUCGAGCCACCGUAUGCUACGAAUAUUACGAAUAGAAUGGAAUGUUAUAGACAAUAAAUUGACAAUUUACAAAAUUGGACACCGUAUAUAACGAAUGGAAUUUCCACGCUAAAUAUAAUAAAUUAAACAAG